CCUACGGGUGGCAGCAGUGGGGAAUAUUGCGCAAUGGGGGAAACCCUGACGCAGCAACGCCGCGUGCAGGAAGAAGGUCUUCGGAUUGUAAACUGUUUUCGCAGUGGACAUAGACAGUUACGGUACACUGUUAGAAAGUCACCGCUAACUACGUGCCAGCAUCCGCGGGAAUACGGAGGUGACAAGCGUUGUCCGGAUUUCCUGGGUGUAAGGGGCGCGUAGGCGGGAUAGCAAGUCAGUCGUGAAAUGCCGAGGCUUAACCUCGGAGCUGCGAUUGAAACUGUUAUUCUUGAGUAUCGGAGAGGAAAGCGGAAUUCCUAGUGUAGCGGUGAAAUGCGUAGAUAUUAGGAGGAACACCAGUGGCGAAGGCGGCUUUCUGGACGACAACUGACGCUGAGGCGCGAAAGUGUGGGGAGCAAACAGGAUUAGAUACCCCUGUAGUC
rnacentral:rRNA from 1 species